ACCAUCUCCGUCGCUUUCGUGCAAUCACCACUGGCUGACUCGACAUAGAUAAGCGUUGAGGGUUUUCUCUGUCAUCUAGAAACUCCUUUCUGGUCACGUGCCAGGUGGACCUCUGUGCUGGCUAGUUUUCCAUCAACUUGACACAAACCGGAGUCUUCUGAGAGAAGCUUGCUUUUAGUCUUGGUGCUUCACCACAGCCACAGGAACCCUAAGACACCCGGUGGAGCAAUUCCCUGCCAGCUUUACUGUGGGCUCCUUAAAGAUGGAACCUGAGAUCCAGAUGCUCCAGCUACAAGGUGGUGGUGGCGCACGCCUUUAAUCCCAGCGCUUGGGAGGCAGAGUCAAGAGGAUCUCUGUGAGUUCGAGGCCAGCCUGGUCUACAAGAGCCAGCUCCAAGACAGGCUCCAAAGCUACAGAGAAACCCUGUCUCGAAAAAAAAAAAUGUUGCUGCUUGUACUGGUAAAGUCAGUGACACGCACAGUCUUCCUUUCUAAACAACGGAAUGGAGCAAUAGUCUCUGGAGUUGAAGAUUUAGUCACAGAGAUGAGAAAUUAUUUGAACUAAGAGAUGUAAACACAGGCUGGACACAAGAUUAUAAAGACUGGCACCUUUUUUUUGUAACUAUUAGACUUCCUUCUGUAGGUGAUAAAUUCUCAUAAACAGGCUUUCUAAAGGGAACUUAAUUGUUUUUACACUAAUUAGUGUGUGCUUUCAUGUGUGCACACUGGUGAGGGUGCCACACACCAAUAUGGAGGUCAGAGGACAAGCUGAGAAUGUCUGCUCUGCCCUUCUGAGUUCCCUGGAUGGAACUCAGGCUUGGGCGGAAGUGUCUUUGUAUACCAUGCUGUCUCGUUAGUCUAAGAGGUUUUAUUUUAUUUUGCAUUAGUGCAGGAAUGUUUUGCCUGCGUGUAUGUUUGCUCACCAUUUGUUUGCCUGGUGCCCAUGGAGAUCAGAAGAGGUGUCAGCACCCCUAGAACUGGCAUUAUGGAUGGGUGUGUGCCUUAAAUUCAUUGUGCUGCCCAAGCUAACCUCAAACUUCUGAUCCUGUUGCUUCAACCUCCCAAGAAGCUGGUAUUAUAGGCCUGUGAUAUCAUCCCAGGGCAUCUUGUGUUAGCUGAA